UGGGCUAUGGCCAAGCGGCAAGGCAAAGGACUUUGACUCCUUUAUCGUUGGUUCGAAUCCAACUAGCCCAA
rnacentral:tRNA from 1 species